rnacentral:rRNA from 1 species
UACGAACUGUCCAAACGUUAUUCGGAAUCACUGGGCUUAAAGGGUGCGUAGGCGGCGUAGUAAGUUGGAUGUGAAAUCCUACGGCUCAACCGUAGAAUUGCGUUCAAUACUGCUAUGCUUGAGGGAGAUAGAGGUAAGCGGAACUUCGGGUGGAGCGGUGAAAUGCGUAGAUAUCCGAAGGAACACCAGUGGCGAAAGCGGCUUACUGGGUCUCUUCUGACGCUGAGGCACGAAAGCUAGGGUAGCGAACGGG